GACGAACGCUGGCGGCGUGCUUAACACAUGCAAGUCGAGCGAUGAAAUUCCUUCGGGAAUGGAUUAGCGGCGGACGGGUGAGUAACACGUGGGUAACCUGCCUCAUAGAGGGGAAUAGCCUUCCGAAAGGAAGAUUAAUACCGCAUAAGAUUGUAGUACCGCAUGGUAUAGCAAUUAAAGGAGUAAUCCGCUAUGAGAUGGACCCGCGUCGCAUUAGCUAGUUGGUGAGGUAACGGCUCACCAAGGCGACGAUGCGUAGCCGACCUGAGAGGGUGAUCGGCCACAUUGGGACUGAGACACGGCCCAGACUCCUACGGGGGGCAGCAGUGGGGAAUAUUGCACAAUGGGGGAAACCCUGAUGCAGCAACGCCGCGUGAGUGAUGACGGUCUUCGGAUUGUAAAACUCUGUCUUCAGGGACGAUAAUGACGGUACCUGAGGAGGAAGCCACGGCUAACUACGUGCCAGCCGCCGCAGUAAAAC
rnacentral:rRNA from 1 species